UGGCUCAGUGGUAGAGUGCUUGCCUAGCAUGCAAGAGGAACUGGGUUUGAUCUCCAG
rnacentral:tRNA from 1 species